AUUUAGCCCCGAUUGAAGUGGUAUCGUUUUUUAGAACGAUAAAAACGAAAAGCGGGAAAACGG
rnacentral:sRNA from 1 species